rnacentral:rRNA from 1 species
CGUGCCUGAGAAAUGCAAGUCGAGCGGUCUUCCGGGUUUCACCCACCCCGGUGGCCCCACCCUGGUGCAGCCACCUCGGUGCAGUCACCUCGGUGCAGUCACCCUGGUGGGACUGGGGUGAGUGAAGCCCGGAAGAUAGCGGCGAACGGUUGAGUAACACGUAAGGAACCUGCCCGACAGACGGGGAUAAGCCACCGAAAGGUGGAGUAAUACCGGAUGCGCUCCUCUUGGGGCAUCCCGAGAGGAGGAAAGGGAGCAAUCCGCUGUCGGAGGGUCUUGCGGCCUAUCAGCUAGUUGGGGGGUAACGGCCCACCAAGGCGACGACGGGUAGCUGGUCUGAGAGGAUGGUCAGCCAGACUGGGACUGAGACACGGCCCAGACUCCUACGGGGGGCAGCAAUCAGGGAUCUUGCGCAAUGGGCGAAAGCCUGACGCAGCGACGCCGCGUGGGUGAGGAAGUCCCUCGGGAUGUAAAGCCCUUUUCUUGGGGACGAUGAUGACGGUACCCAAGGAAGAAGCCCCGGCUAACUACGUG